GAUGAACGCUGGCGGCGUGCCUAAUACAUGCAAGUCGAGCGAACAGACGAGGAGCUUGCUCCUCUGACGUUAGCGGCGGACGGGUGAGUAACACGUGGAUAACCUACCUAUAAGACUGGGAUAACUUCGGGAAACCGGAGCUAAUACCGGAUAAUAUAUUGAACCGCAUGGUUCAAUAGUUAAAGACGGUUUUGCUGUUACUUAUAGAUGGAUCCGCGCCGCAUUAGCUAGUUGGUAAGGUAACGGAUUACCAAGGCAACGAUGCGUAGCCGACCUGAGAGGGUGAUCGGCCACACUGGAACUGAGGCAGGGUCCAGACUCCUACGGGAGGCAGCAGUAGGGAAUCUUCCGGAAUGGGCGAAAGCCUGACGGAGCAACGCCGCGUGAGUGAUGAAGGUCUUCGGAUCGUAAAACUCUGUUAUUAGGGAAGAACAAAUGUGUAAGUAACUAUGCACGUCUUGACGGUACCUAAUCAGAAAGCCACGGCUAACUACGUG
rnacentral:rRNA from 1 species